GACGAACGCUGGCGGCGUGCUUAACACAUGCAAGUCGAACGGUAAGGCUCCAGCUUGCUGGGGUACACGAGUGGCGAACGGGUGAGUAACACGUGGGUGACCUGCCCUGCACUUCGGGAUAAGCCUGGGAAACUGGGUCUAAUACCGGAUAGGACCGCACCGUGAGGGUGUGGUGGAAAGUUUUUUCGGUGUGGGAUGGGCCCGCGGCCUAUCAGCUUGUUGGUGGGGUAAUGGCCUACCAAGGCGGCGACGGGUAGCCGGCCUGAGAGGGUGGACGGCCACAUUGGGACUGAGACACGGCCCAGACUCCUACGGGAGGCAGCAGUGGGGAAUAUUGCACAAUGGGCGGAAGCCUGACGCAGCGACGCCGCGUGGGGGAUGACGGCCUUCGGGUUGUAAACUCCUUUCACCAUCGACGAAGGGUUUCUGACGGUAGAUGGAGAAGAAGCACCGGCUAACUACGUG
rnacentral:rRNA from 1 species